rnacentral:tRNA from 1 species
UCCCUGGUGGUCUAGUAGUUAAGAGUCAGCACUUUCACUACAGAGGCCUGGGUUCAAUUCCUGGUUGGGGAA